UUGAAUACUUUGAUGAGAAAAAAUCUUAUCAGCAGAAAAAAAUUAAUAGCAUUUUAUAAAUGUUAUUGUUUUAAGUUUGAAAUUCUGUUUAUAGAUUUAUUAAUCUAUACCCAGAAACGAGUUCCUAUAAAGCAUAUUUACUUCAUAAAAAACUUGAAGAAAAACAAAAUUAUUUAAAUAACCCGAUAUAUUUUGCGGAAAUGAUGGUCAGCGGAAUUCUGUUAGUAGUUUUAAUAAAUACGAUUGAUGUAAAUUCACAGAGAAAAGCCAUAAAAUCAACUUGUGGUUACUUUAACUUCAAACUGUGCAUUGAAGAGAAAGUUACGAUAGUUAAAAACAGCGAUCCAGAAAAGAUGAGAUUCGUGAAAGGUCCCUCAAUAUCGUUAGAUUCAGAGGUAUUAAAGAAAUAUGAAAACUUAAAGACCUCUGGUUAUAAGGGAAAAAAAAAGCGGAAGCAAUUUAGAUAAAAGGCACCUAUUCACUAAAAGUUUGAUUAAAAUUGUCGAAUUGACUUUUUAUGUGCAUUCUAACAUUUAUUAAAACUUUAACUUUAAAAAAAAUGUUUAAAUUAAACUGUUAUUGCAUUCUUUUUUUUUUACAAAGAUUGUCGUAAAAUGUAGUUCUUGAAUAAGACCAUAUUUAGGUUUA